GGGGGGGGGGGCCAGCUCACCCCGGGCGCAGCCAGUGGGCACAGCCCCUCUGUAAACCUUUAUUUCAGCUGGUGCUCGGGGCACCACGGGGGGCACCAGCCCCGUGCUCCCCCAAAAACAGCACCUGGGGGGGGCCCUGGCAGCACCCCCGCAGUGGGGGCACCAGGGACACCCCGAGCAGGGGGCUCCCACGGACAGGGCCCCCCUGGCAGCAUAGUGGGCACGGCGAGCCCCCCACUGUGCCCCUGGCGGCUCCCCCGGCACCUCCGGGGGGUCUCGGCACAACCAGGACCCUGCGGAGGGAACGGGGUGUCAGCGGGGACCCCGGAGUGGAGACCCCAGAGUGGGGACCCCAGAACUGGGCACCCCGGCACUGGGCACCCCGGCACUGGGCAGCCAGAGCCCACUGACCCCAGCCCCGGGGGUCUCUGUGCCCAGCCCGGCCGUGUCCGUGUCCCUGUGCCGGGGGUCCCUGUACCCUCAGCCCUGGGGUCACCUGUCCCAAUCCCGGUGGUCCUCGCUCCCCCGUGUCCCCACCCACCGGAGCCGGGUCCGGCUACGUCAUCGUCUCCUCUUCCUCCUCCUCUUCCUCCUCGGCCCACCCGCCCAGCGGCAUCUCCCGCAGCUGCGAGGCGCGGGCAGCCGAGCCUGGUGGGCACAGGGGAGUCAGGACCCCCAGAAACCCCCCUGCCCUGCUCAGCUCGGCCCCGCGGUGCGGGGGGCUGUCAGCGGUGCCCCCCAGCCCCGGGCCACCCCCGGGCCGGUGCUCACCUGUGGUCACGAAGGGGUGUCUGGGCGCCCCCGCGGGCUGGGGGCCGGGGCCCUGCUGCUGCUGCUGGUGGAGCUGGGGGGGAAGGGGCAGGAAUAGCCGAGAGCCCGGAUCACCCCAGAGGCUCAGAGCCCCCGCACCGCUGCCAGAGCCCCCCGUACCGGCACUCGGAGCCCCCCGUGGGGCAGGACAGGGGUCUCUCAGCCCGGGACACUCCCCAGCCCCAAAGGGCGGCAGAAGGGGCUGGCACAUGGGUGACAGCAGCCGCGGUGCCUCAUCCCCAGCUGGCAGCGGCCAAGAACGGGGGGUGGGUGUCACCCAGUGGGGCAGGGAGGGUUGGGGCAGCCUGGAAUGGCGCUGGGGACAAGGGACAGGGGACAGGGGACCAGGGCCAGGCAGGACUCCCAGGGGUGAGGCAGAGCACCCAGACAGGGACACUCUGGGGACACCAGGGAACCCCAAGGGACCUGUGUCCCGGGGUGCUGUGCGCAGGGCUUCCCGGGAGCCGCAGGUGACACACCUGGUGCAGGUAGAUGGCGUGAAGGCUCAUCUCGGCCGAGGCCACCUCGGCCAGCAGCGCCGAGCGGCUCAGGCUGCGGGGGGGGGGGGGGGGGGGGGGGGGGGGGGGGGGGGGGGGGGGGGGGGGGGGGGGGGGGGGGGG
rnacentral:lncRNA from 1 species